UACGUAGGGGGCAAGCGUUGUCCGGAAUCAUUGGGCGUAAAGAGCGUGUAGGCGGCUCGAUAAGUCCGCUGUGAAAGUCCAGGGCUCAACCCUGGAAGGCCGGUGGAAACUGUCGGGCUAGAGUCCGGAAGAGGCGAGUGGAAUUCCCGGUGUAGCGGUGAAAUGCGCAGAUAUCGGGAGGAACACCAAUGGCGAAGGCAGCUCGCCGGGACGGUACUGACGCUGAGGCGCGAAAGCGUGGGGAGCGAACCGG
rnacentral:rRNA from 1 species